CGAACGAACUCUGGUAUUGAUUGGUGCUUGCAUCAUGAUUUACAUUUGAGUGAGUGGCGAACUGGUGAGUAACACGUGGGAAACCUGCCCAGAAGCGGGGGAUAACACCUGGAAACAGAUGCUAAUACCGCAUAACAACUUGGACCGCAUGGUCCGAGCUUGAAAGAUGGCUUCGGCUAUCACUUUUGGAUGGUCCCGCGGCGUAUUAGCUAGAUGGUGGGGUAACGGCUCACCAUGGCAAUGAUACGUAGCCGACCUGAGAGGGUAAUCGGCCACAUUGGGACUGAGACACGGCCCAAACUCCUACGGGAGGCAGCAGUAGGGAAUCUUCCACAAUGGACGAAAGUCUGAUGGAGCAACGCCGCGUGAGUGAAGAAGGGUUUCGGCUCGUAAAACUCUGUUGUUAAAGAAGAACAUAUCUGAGAGUAACUGUUCAGGUAUUGACGGUAUUUAACCAGAAAGCCACGGCUAACUACGUGCCAGCAGCCGCGGUAAUACGUAGGUGGCAAGCGUUGUCCGGAUUUAUUGGGCGUAAAGCGAGCGCAGGCGGUUUUUUAAGUCUGAUGUGAAAGCCUUCGGCUCAACCGAAGAAGUGCAUCGGAAACUGGGAAACUUGAGUGCAGAAGAGGACAGUGGAACUCCAUGUGUAGCGGUGAAAUGCGUAGAUAUAUGGAAGAACACCAGUGGCGAAGGCGGCUGUCUGGUCUGUAACUGACGCUGAGGCUCGAAAGUAUGGGUAGCAAACAGGAUUAGAUACCCUGGUAGUCCAUACCGUAAACGAUGAAUGCUAAGUGUUGGAGGGUUUCCGCCCUUCAGUGCUGCAGCUAACGCA
rnacentral:rRNA from 2 species